rnacentral:rRNA from 1 species
CCUACGGGAGGCAGCAGUGAGGAAUAUUGGUCAAUGGUCGGGAGACUGAACCAGCCAAGCCGCGUGAGGGAUGAAGGUACAGAGUAUCGUAAACCUCUUUUGUCAGGGAACAAAGGCGGGGACGCGUCCCCGGAUGAGUGUACCUGAAGAAAAAGCAUCGGCUAACUCCGUGCCAGCAGCCGCGGUAAUACGGGGGAUGCGAGCGUUAUCCGGAUUUAUUGGGUUAAAAGGGUGCGCAGGCGGUCUGUUAAGUCAGCGGUCAAACCCCGGGGCUCAACCCCGGCCCGCCGUUGAAACUGGCAGUCUCGAGUUGGAGAGAAGUAUGCGGAAUGCGCGGUGUAGCGGUGAAAUGCAUAGAUAUCGCGCAGAACUCCGAUUGCGAAGGCAGCAUGCCGGCUCCACACUGACGCUGAGGCACGAAAGCGUGGGUAUCGAACAGGAUUAGAUACCCCUGUAGUC